CUACGGAGGGUGCAAGCGUUAAUCGGAAUUACUGGGCGUAAAGCGUACGUAGGCGGUUAUUUAAGUCAGAUGUGAAAGCCCCGGGCUUAACUUGGGAACUGCAUUUGAAACUGGGUAACUAGAGUUUAGUAGAGGGGAGUGGAAUUUCAGGUGUAGUGGUGAAAUGCGUAGAGAUCUGAAGGAACACCAGUGGCGAAGGCGACUCACUGGCUCGAUACUGACGCUGAGGUGCGAAAGCGUGGGGAGCAAACAGGAUUAGAUACCCUUGUAGUCC
rnacentral:rRNA from 1 species